rnacentral:rRNA from 1 species
GGCAGCAGCCUUUCCUCCUAACCUGAUCUUGUCAGAUCCCAGAAGCCAAGCAAGGUGGGCCCUGGUCAGUACUGGGAUGCAAAACCUCCCAGGAAAACCAGGUUGCUGCUGUAA